UCGACGGCAGCACGGGUGCUUGCACCUGGUGGCGAGUGGCGAACGGGUGAGUAAUGCGUCGGAACGUACCGAGUAAUGGGGGAUAACGCAGCGAAAGUUGUGCUAAUACCGCAUACGCCCUGAGGGGGAAAGUGGGGGACCGCAAGGCCUCACGUUAUUCGAGCGGCCGACGUCUGAUUAGCUAGUUGGUGGGGUAAAGGCCUACCAAGGCGACGAUCAGUAGCGGGUCUGAGAGGAUGAUCCGCCACACUGGGACUGAGACACGGCCCAGACUCCUACGGGAGGCAGCAGUGGGGAAUUUUGGACAAUGGGGGCAACCCUGAUCCAGCCAUUCCGCGUGAGUGAAGAAGGCCUUCGGGUUGUAAAGCUCUUUCAGCUGGAACGAAACGGUACGCGCUAACAUCGUGUGCUAAUGACGGUACCGGCAGAAGAAGCACCGGCUAACUACGUGCCAGCAGCCGCGGUAAUACGUAGGGUGCGAGCGUUAAUCGGAAUUACUGGGCGUAAAGCGUGCGCAGGCGGAUUGUUAAGCAAGACGUGAAAUCCCCGGGCUUAACCUGGGAAUGGCGUUUUGAACUGGCAGUCUAGAGUGCGUCAGAGGGGGGUGGAAUUCCACGUGUAGCAGUGAAAUGCGUAGAGAUGUGGAGGAACACCGAUGGUGAAGGCAGCCCCCUGGGAUGACACUGACGCUCAUGUA
rnacentral:rRNA from 1 species